GCAGGUCGUGUCGUCUGCAUGUUUACGCUGACGUGAGUGACGUUUCCACCGCGAAAUUUCAGCAUUUUAAAAUGACACGUAGGUUGUGGAACGUCAGGGGCGAAUCAUUCUUAAUUUGUGUACCGCUCAUUUCACAAAGACAAAGAAGGGUGAGUAAACCAGCAGUGGUAUAGGGCACUUGGGAAUGGCAGACUUAAUUCAAAACCCCCGGACAACAUACAGAAAAACUCCAGAGUUUGUAGCAAUCAUUUUUUUUCCGCAUAUAAUUACACUGCAGGUAAAGGAUCUUCAAAGCUGCUCAAAAGUGCAUGGCCGGAUCAUCAAGAAAACCAAGAUGAUCCUUUGAGCUGCCAUUCUGCAGCACCCUUACUAACUGCCACUCGGUCUGGAGAUGAUGACAUCAACUAUAUUUUUGCAGCUACCAACCCGACAUAUUACAAUAUAAACUCUGCAGUUGACUGGGAUUGUAGUGGAUAAUUCUUUGAUUUCUUUUCUUAUAAACUUUGAACAAGAUAUUUUUUGGUUCAGCAUUGUCUAAAGGAGACUGUGAAUUUCUUGCUCUGGAAAUGGCAACUCCAGAGCUUGAUACAAUUGGUGAGUCUAUUGCCAAAUCCAUAUAGUGGUGUAAUUUUAAAAUUGACAUUCUAGAAAUGUAUUUUAUAUAAUUGCUAAAAAUUGCUUUACAAUACACAUGUGCAUAGAGCUAGACUGAUAGAUAGGUAUAUUUUUUUCAUUUUUUUAUAUACCAAUAUAUUGUUUGAAAGUGAAAUAAUAUAAUUCUAUUCAUGGUAAAGUAAAUAACUGAAGUGCAUACUUAUAAAUAGAGAAAUAUCAGUAGGAUAUAGUUAACAACUGAUAUUCAACAAUGCAAUAUUAUGUGAUGGCCUGAUAACAUUAGGGCAGUAUACAUGUGUGUACCAUUUAAUAUCAUUACUUUUCAGGCGUAAGUUCCUUUAAUCAAGGAAAAGGUAAUAAAAGUAAAAGCAUCAACUUUGAUUAAUAGAUACAGAGUGAGGAUCUACAGGUUACUGAAAAACAUCAGACAAAUGAAAGAAAAUACUGCAAAUUGCAAGAAAGGUUUCCGAAAUGUUUCCAAAUACUUAAGUGGCUCUGGCAUGGAGUUCUUCAAAGCUAAAAUAAUGUGAGCUAAUACAAUUAAGAUGGAAGACAGGUAUGGUAAUAUAGAGCACACAUUUGCACUAGCAUUAUAUUUCAAAAGUGCCUGGCCUUAUGAUUUUUUUUGGCUAAAGCUUUCAUACUACCAACUUCAUCUUUUACGAUUUUGGCUUCAAAGAAUAAAAUUCAAAGCUGGUUGGAA